UCACUAGUGAUAGUAACUAGUUUAUAUGUGUGGCUGAUUUUUAGGAUUUAUGCUGGCUGGAUCAAUACUCAUGGUUGGUGGCAAUAAUGCUCAACUUAAGUUGCUACAUAACUGAUGCUAGUGCUGCUUAAGUUGCUGCAUAAUUGCUGGUGCUGUUGUUGGAGGAGUGAUGGAUGCUUUGAUUGAUUUGAUCUUUGAUGGAUUUUGACUAAGUUAUUGAGCUCUGCUUUGAUUGGUCUUAGCUUCCUUUCCAAGCAGUUGAAAUUCAGUACUACUUGAACUACCUUGGGAAAAUGGUGACUCUCUUGGUGGAACUAGAUGGAGCAUGAGUGAGUUCAAUUGGGAUGUCAAAUAUGCUGGGGUUCAGACACUUGUGGUCAAGGGGUAUAUCUUUGGUUGCAGAUUACUGACAAGAUGAAAGCAUGUGCAUCCUUAGAAGUAAUUGGCCAAAAUGUUGGAAUAUUGGACCCAAGGACUUAUCAGACUAAUGGGAACUUCUGAUUGAAGCAUCUUCUAAUCUCUUGGAAUGGCCAUGAGAAAUUGUUUUAGGCCCAACACUCUCAGCAUGCUAUUAAAGAUGGUGGGUAUAAUAGUUUAUUGGUUUUAAAAUUCUGUAGUUAAAAAUAUUAAGUUCCUUUAGGUUAAUGUAAAAGUGUCUCCAUAAACUUCAAGAAUGAAGGAUUUAGUAAUUUGGAAAGCUAAUUGAAUUUUGUCUGAUAUUUGUGCUUUGGUAUAAUAUAGAUUUUGUAAUAUGUGGUUCUUUAAAGUGUAUGUGUAUGUCUGUGAGUUAUUUAUUUAUUUAUUUA